AACGAACGCUGGCGGCGUGCUUAACACAUGCAAGUCGAACGGUGAACGAGGGAGCUUGCUCCCUCCGGAUCAGUGGCGAACGGGUGAGUAACACGUGAGCAAUCUGCCCUGGACUCUGGGAUAAGCGUUGGAAACGACGUCUAAUACCGGAUACGAGGCGUGGGGGCAUCCCCAACGCCUGGAAAGAACUUCGGCCCAGGAUGAGCUCGCGGCCUAUCAGCUAGUUGGUGAGGUAACGGCUCACCAAGGCGACGACGGGUAGCCGGCCUGAGAGGGUGACCGGCCACACUGGGACUGAGACACGGCCCAGACUCCUACGGGAGGCAGCAGUGGGGAAUAUUGCACAAUGGGCGCAAGCCUGAUGCAGCAACGCCGCGUGAGGGACGACGGCCUUCGGGUUGUAAACCUCUUUUAGCAGGGAAGAAGCGAAAGUGACGGUACCUGCAGAAAAAGCACCGGCUAACUACGUGCCAGCCGCCGCCGUAA
rnacentral:rRNA from 1 species